UCUUAUAGAUGAGCAAAGAGUAGUUUCUUGAGAUGGAAUCUAUUCCUGGUGAAGAUGUUGUGAA
rnacentral:pre_miRNA from 1 species